GAAAAACCCGAACAACCCUACCUAAAUAACCCGAAUAAUCUGACCCGGUCCGAAUGUCCACCCGUACGUCUGGAUGUUGCCAUUGGUGUUGUCUUCCUUUUAGAAUUUUCCUUUUUCACUUCCGAAUUGCUUUGGACAUUUAUUUUUUUAUUUUUUCUGCUUGAAUUGAGAAAGUUAUCAGUAGAAUUUUGUUAAAUUGCAAUGAAGUUCGUCUAUUAUUAUCUUUGUUUGACCACUUGAAUUUUUAGAGGAUUUAAUCCGUUGCUUCUAUUUUAUUCAAUAAAGAGAAGAAAUACAAGAAAGAGGGGUGUGGCAAAUGGAAAGAGGGGUGUGACAAACGGAGGAAGCCAUUGAUAUGUUUGUGAUUGAGCAGUCAAACCAGGUUUCAUAUUCUCUUCAACUCAUCCAUUUUUUUCCCCCUCCAAAAACCUCCAAUUUCAAACUAAAUUUCUCUAGCCUAUCAAUCAAUCAACCCCUUUCCACGAAAUUUGCCACCAAAAGAUUCACCUUCACCAAAUCAUCCAUAGAAGCACUCGAAGCACACGUCACAAAGAAUUCCCCCGAUAUAUUAUCCAACCAUCCAGAAUCAAGGUCGUCAUGGUGUUUGCGAUAAUCGUCGGCGAUUAUGUGGAGAGGCUGAUAGGGGAGAAGGGAUUCAUGUAGGAUAAGGAAAUGGCCUCGUUUUAAGAAAAGGAGGGGAAGA
rnacentral:lncRNA from 1 species